UACGGGGGGGGGCAAGCGUUGUUCGGAAUUACUGGGCGUAAAGAGCGUGUAGGCGGCCUGACAGGUCUGCUGUGAAAACUCGAGGCUCAACCUCGAGAUGUCGGCGGAAACCGUCUGGCUAGAGUCCGGAAGAGGAGAGUGGAAUUCCUGGUGUAGCGGUGAAAUGCGCAGAUAUCAGGAGGAACACCGGUGGCGAAGGCGGUUCUCUGGGCAUUACCUGACGCUGAGGAGCGAAAGCAUGGGGAGCAAACAGG
rnacentral:rRNA from 1 species